UCAGGUGGCCGCAGAGAAUAGGCCCAAGCGACUGUUUACCAAAAACAUAGGUUUCUGCUAAGUCGCAAGACGAUGUAUAGGAGCUGACGCCUGCCCGGUGCUGGAAGGUUAAGGGGAUCUGUUAGAGCAAUCGAAGCAGUGAACUUAAGCCCCAGUAAACGGCGGCCGUAACUAUAACGGUCCUAAGGUAGCGAAAUUCCUUGUCGGGUAAGUUCCGACCCGAACGAAAGGCGUAACGAUUUGGGCACUGUCUCAACAACAGACUCGGUGAAAUUGUAAUUCCGGUGAAGAUGCCGGAUACCUGCGACAGGACGGAAAGACCCCAUGGAGCUUUACUGUAGCUUGACAUU
rnacentral:rRNA from 1 species